rnacentral:rRNA from 1 species
UACAGAGGUCCCAAGCGUUGUUCGGAUUCAUUGGGCGUAAAGGGUGUGUAGGUGGCGCCGUAAGUCGGGUGUGAAAUCUCGGAGCUUAACUCCGAAACUGCAUUCGAUACUGCCGUGCUUGAGGACUGGAGAGGAGACUGGAAUUUACGGUGUAGCGGUGAAAUGCGUAGAUAUUCGCAAGAACACCAGUGGCGAAGGCGGCUCACUGGCCCGAUACUGACGCUGAGGCACGAAAGCGUGGGGAGCAAACAGG